GACGAACGCUGGCGGCGUGCUUAACACAUGCAAGUCGAGCGGUAAGGCCCUUUCGGGGGUACGACGAGCGGCGAACGGGUGAGUAACACGUGGGUGACCUGCCCUUAGCUCUGGGAUAAGCCUGGGAAACUGGGUCUAAUACCGGAUAUGACUCCAUGACGCAUGCUGUGGGGUGGAAAGCCUUGUGCGGCUAGGGAUGGGCCCGCGGCCUAUCAGCUUGUUGGUGGGGUGAUGGCCACCAAGGCGACGACGGUAGCCGGCCUGAGAGGGCGACCGGCCACACUGGGACUGAGACACGGCCCAGACUCCUACGGGAGGCAGCAGUGGGGAAUCUUGCGCAAUGGGCGAAAGCCUGACGCAGCGACGCCGCGUGAGGGAUGACGGCCUCGG
rnacentral:rRNA from 1 species